UACGUAGGUGGCAAGCGUUGUCCGGAAUCACUGGGCGUAAAGCGCGCGCAGGCGGCGAUCUACGUCUGGGGUGAAAGCCCGGAGCUCAACUCCGGGACUGCCUUGGAUACGGGAUCGCUUGAGGAUUGGAGAGGCAAGGGGAAUUCCACGUGUAGCGGUGAAAUGCGUAGAGAUGUGGAGGAACACCUGUGGCGAAGGCGCCUUGCUGGCCAAUUUCUGACGCUGAGGCGCGAAAGCGUGGGGAGCGAACAGG
rnacentral:rRNA from 1 species